GGGCCCGCACAAGCGGUGGAGCAUGUGGUUUAAUUCGAUGCAACGCGAAGAACCUUACCAGGUCUUGACAUCUGUAGAACCCUGAUGAAAGUCGGGGGUGCCUUUUAGGAGCUACAAGACAGGUGGUGCAUGGUUGUCGUCAGCUCGUGUCGUGAGAUGUUGGGUUAAGUCCCGCAACGAGCGCAACCCUUGCUAUUAGUUGCUAACAUGAAAGAUGAGCACUCUAAUGGGACUGCCGGUGACAAGCCGGAGGAAGGUGGGGAUGACGUCAAAUCAUCAUGCCCUUUAUGAUCUGGGCUACACACGUGCUACAAUGGAUGGUACAGAGAGCGGCGAGACCGUGAGGUGGAGCGAAUCUCAAAAAGCCAUUCUCAGUUCGGAUUGUAGUCUGCAACUCGACUACAUGAAGUCGGAAUCGCUAGUAAUCGCGAAUCAGCACGUCGCGGUGAAUGCGUUCCCGGGCCUU
rnacentral:rRNA from 1 species